GUGCUCGCUUCGGCAGCACACCUACUAAAAUUGGAUUCGAUACAGAGAAGAUUAGCAUGGCCCCUGCGCAAGGAUGACACGCAAACUCGUGAAGCGGUCCACAUUUUC